rnacentral:rRNA from 1 species
UGAGAGUCCUGAAGGAACGUUGAAGACGACGACGUUGAUAGGCCGGGUGUGUAAGCGCAGCGAUGCGUUGAGCUAACCGGUACUAAUGAGCCGUGAGGCUUAACCUUACAACGCCGAAG